rnacentral:rRNA from 1 species
AAGGGCACCACAAGAACGCGUGGAGCAUGUGGCUUAAUUUGACUCAACGCGGGAAAUCUUACCGGGUCCGGACAUACUGAGGAUUGACAGGUGCAAAAAUGUAAUAAUUUAUAUAUAAUUUAUUUUAUAUAUUUUUUUGUUACGUUAUCAAAUAUGCUAGUCCUUUCAUGAUUGUGUGAUAGGUGGUGCAUGGCCGUUCUUAGUUCGUGGAGUGAUCUGUCUGCUUAAUUGCGUUUCAUUAUAGCUCCUUAUAGUCUUUUCUAUUGAUAUCAGCCUUAAUACUUUAAGUAAUCGUUAUUUUUAAUUAAUAUAUUAAUAUUUCAUUAUAUUUUUAUAUUAUAUUAUUUGCGUGAAAUUUUAAAGUUAAGGAUUUGAUUCAAAGUAAAAGCUGGAGCCUGAAGGCAACGAACGUGACCGCAACCUCUUGUUGCCUCAUUCUUAAUAUGAAUAUAAAUAUAUAUAUGUAUUUUAUCAUGUAUAUGCUUUAUUUAUAUGUGUAUGUAUUUGGAUAAGUAUAUGAAUGUUGUGUCCAUGUAGUAUAUUAAUUAUAUGUGUAAGUACGUAUGGAUGGUUUUAUUAUCAUAUUAUAGUAUAUAUUAUUAUAUAGUUUAUAUCUACGUGGAUAUGAUUUUAUUUAUGUAUUUAAUCAUUUUGCGUAAAUUGAGGCUAACUAGAGGGCCGCUAGGCUAGCUUUUUAAAACAGAGGAAGGUUGCGGCAAUAACAGGUCUGUGAUGCCCUCAGGUGUUCCGGGCUGCACACGUGCUACAAUGAUUAUUGCAGUGAGCAUCUCAACAUUGUGAUUUUAGAUUAUUAUGUAUAUCUAUUAUGUAUACUAAUUUAUUUUAGUAUUACAUGUAUUUAUAUGUAUAAUUUAAAAAUUUAAUCACAUAGCCUUCUUCGGCAGUCAGUAGGUAAUCAAUUAGAAGUAAUGAUUUCCCCUUUUUUAUUUAAAUAUAUAAUAAAUUUAUUACGAUAUGUUUACUUAAAAUUGAUGCACACUUUUAUGUCUAUGUUUCUAUUUACAUAUUAAAGUACUAAUACUAUUUAUUAAUAGUUUAGUCUUUAAUUUUGUGAUAGUUACUGACAUGUGCUCUCAUGUUUUUUAAAUGUUCAAUUCGUGGUGGGGACAGACCAUUGUUAAUUGUUGGUCUCGGUCUCAACUAGGAAUGCCUUGUACGGGUCUUUGGUUCAACAAACCACCCGGAAUAUGUCCCUGCCCUUUGUACACACCGCCCGUCGCUCUUACCGAUGGACUACUCUGUGAGUUUAAGGGACUGGUUUGAAUUUUAAAAUAUGUAUUUAUAUAUAUUUUAUAUUAUAUUCAGGCUAUGGAAACUUAUACGAACAGUGUGGUCUAAAGGGAAGAGAAGUCGUAACAAGGCAUCGGUAGGUGAACGU